GCCCUGGGUAGCUCAGCUGGCGAGAGCACUGUGCUGGCGACGCCAGAGUCACAGGUUCGAUCCCCGUAUGGGGCA